CUCGGCUCUUUCCGCCGGCAGCAGCCGGAAACAUCCGAAGCGGCGAGGAACGGGAGCGGGGCGCGCCUCCUCCUCCCAGCCAGGGACUACUGGUGAAUUCCGGAAACACCCGAAGAAGUUUCCGGGUGUUUUCAAACCCUGAACCGGGAGCGUGGAUCACCUGUGAGCGUUACCUAAAUAGAAAAUAAGACUGUUAGCCAGUCUGCGAUUGGCAUCCUUUGGUUCUAAAGCAACUAACCGUCUGCAUGUCCAUUCGUCUGUCGAUCAGCUCAUAAAAUCCGUCUGGUUUAUCUUCCAGCCUAUCAACACAUGUGUCACCUGUCAAAUACAGCGUUAGUCUGUUAAUAGUAUACCUACCAUUCACCACCUGCCACCCUCUAUGUGGCUCCUAUUUAUCUGUCCAUACAUCCCGCACCUACGCCGCAGGACUCUUCUGUGUCCAGGGCAGGCACCACCAGGUCAGCGUCCUUAGCUCCCAGAGCUGGGAGGCUGCAGAGGUCCUCUCAGCCCUGCACUCCAGCCCCCUCUCUGUGCAGUGAAAAUGCUGUGUGAUCUUGGAAAAAAUCACUUAAUGUCUCUGAGUUUAGGCUCAACAGCCCCAUGUUGAGAGAAUCCAUGUCUUUGUUCCACUGAUGACCUUCUAAAGAUCUUUGAAUUCCAGUCACCUCUCCUACUCAUUUCCCAGUUAUUUUUUUUUAACUCUUUUAAUGUUAAAAACAGCACAAAAUGACAUCACAGUAUGGUAACAUUGAGUCAUGCCAGUUAGGAGAAACAGUCUUAUCUUCAUUCAUAUUUCAGUUAUCCCUUCUAAGAAGAAAACUCAUGGAAAAGGAAAGCGAAGGUGGUUGAAAAUGAGGAUUCCUCAGAAUGGUACAAAGAAUGGACACCUGGAGGAGUUUUUUUCCUUCCCUGGGCCUCAGCUACCCCAUCAAAAAGUGAUGUCAUUGGAUUCAUGAGCUCAGAGAUCCCUGUCAGGGAGUGCCCCUGACUCUAACGGGAAAUUCAUGUGGCAACCUGAAUCUACUCUUCACUUCUCCCUAGGCUGUCUCCUCCUGGAAAGGCAGUUGGCUGGUGACUGGUCUGAUACCUCUGGCUCUAAGCUGUCCCCUCCCAUCACACCCAAGACAUGCUGGAGCUUGUGCCAGCCCUCCCACCCAGGGCUCAACAGCAGCUUAAGGUGGGCAGAGGCCAGAGUCCCCACAGGAGCCAGAGACCAGUCUCAAGCAACAAAUAUCCAGAGAUGCAGGGGCAGAGAAGCCUCAGGGGUUGUGGAAAAAAGUGCUGGUUGGACCACUGACGCUUGACUUCCAGCUCUCAGCUACAGUAUCUUGAGCAGAGCUGUUGGCCAAGUCUAGAGAAAUAGACCACCAGACAGAAGCAACAAGAUGAUGGCAGAGAAAAUACCUAAGGUGACAGGUAUCACCUGUUGACACCUUCCUGCCAACUCCUGCCCUGCCACCAAGCUCUCUCACCUCCAUGUUUUUGUUCAGGCUGAUCAAUUGCCAGCCACCUACUUCAGCUUCCAGAUGUACUUCAAGAUCUAAUUCAAAUGUCACCUUCUCAAAUCCCUGAACUCACCUACUUCUUUACUGCCAUACAUUUACCCUUCUCCAAUGUGCCAAUUCAGUCAUUCACAAAUCUCUAUUGAGCACGGACUAUGGGGAAGGCACUGUUCUAGGCUCUUUGUGUCUAUCAGGAGGAUGUCAGAAGGACCAACAGCAGCCUCAGACUUGGAAGCGGCAGAGGGGAAGUUGAUACCAGCUGGAGUUCAGGGUUCUAUGUGGCUUCCUGGAGGAGGUAGUGGGGCAGGUCCCCAGUGACUCACCAGUGUGACAAGAUGACACCCCCACAUACCCAAAGCUGGAGGUCCAUGGAGAAACACUUCUUUCUUCACCUACUACCCUCCCCAGGGACAACAGUGCCCAGGGCCCCUGGUCCCAAGGACAGCAGGGACAUUUCCUGAUUCCCAGUGGUGUCCCUUGUGCCUCAUACAGUCUGUCAAUUCCAUGGGAAUGAAAGCCACAGGGUUUGGCUCUAAUCUCCUCUUCCUUCAACUCCCUUUCCUUAUUUAGCUGCAUGUAAAUAUCUCCUGCUGCCGAGGAAGCCCUCUCUGCCCUGAGGGAUGAGAAUGCUAAGUGAUACCGUGGGGAGGCCAUCAGCCAUAUCCAGAACAGAGGUAAUCCUGUUCACCAAACAAGCCAGUGUUCUUAAACAAGAAAAGAAAAAAAGAAGGAAAAAAAGAGGAAAGAAAGGCUGUUACAGGUUGAAACAUAUCAACAAAGUGCAAUGUGUGAACCUCAGAUUCUGAUUCAAACAAAUCAGCUGUAAAGAGAUUCACAG